ensembl:lncRNA
GUUUUUGCAACAGAAUCGGCUUAAUGAAUACUCCCAAGUAGAAGGAGUGAGGCGAGUCCACUCGUGUUUCUCUCUCACCCUAGGAGUAGUCUAAAUCUAAACCGGGACGCCCCAUUUCUGUUAAAGCUACUGCCUAAAGCCGAACAUCAAAUCCAGCUUUUAUACACCAAGCUUUGGUCGUGUCGAUGAAACAAUCAAGUGGUGCCUGACUGUGGUGUGUCCCAGAGGAACAUUAGUCCACAUCACCAGGGUCCCCUGACUUGACUUGAAGCGUGUUUUUAUAUCUGAUGCUCUUCCAGAAGACUGAGUACCACUGCACCGUGACUGGGGACUUCUAGGGGAAGAUACCCCUACAUUCACUCCACUGUUUGGAAAAGGAAUAAUUCCUCACUCCUGUGAGACUUCUAUGGUAUGCCGAAUAUCUCAACUCUGGUCCAUGUGGAGGAUUCCAG